rnacentral:rRNA from 1 species
GAUGAACGCUAGCGGCAGGCCUAAUACAUGCAAGUCGAACGGUGUAGCAAUACACAGUGGCGCACGGGUGCGUAACACGUAUGCAACCUACCUUACAUUGGGGGAUAGCCUUUCGAAAGGGAGAUUAAUACCGCAUAAGACAGUAACUGGGCAUCCAGUAGCUGUUAAAGAUUUAUCGAUGUAAGCUGGGCAUGCGUCCAAUUAGUUAGUUGGCGAGGUAAUGGCUCACCAAGACGAUGAUUGGUAGGGGAACUGAGAGGUCAAUCCCCCACACUGGCACUGAGAUACGGGCCAGACUCCUAUGGGAGGCAGCAGUAGGGAAUAUUGGGCAAUGGGCGCAAGCCUGACCCAGCCAUGCCGCGUGCAGGAAGAAGGCGUUAUGCGUUGUAAACUGCUUUUAUACAGGAAGAAACGACCCUUGCGAGGGGCAUUGACGGUACUGUAUGAAUAAGCACCGGCUAACUCCGUGCCAGCCGCCGCAGUAACAC